GACGAACGCUGGCGGCGUGCCUAAUACAUGCAAGUCGAGCGCAGGAAAUCGACGGAACCCUUCGGGGGGAAGUCGACGGAAUGAGCGGCGGACGGGUGAGUAACACGUAAAGAACCUGCCCUCAGGUCUGGGAUAACCACGAGAAAUCGGGGCUAAUACCGGAUGGGUCAUCGGACCGCAUGGUCCGAGGAUGAAAGGCGCUCCGGCGUCGCCUGGGGAUGGCUUUGCGGUGCAUUAGCUAGUUGGUGGGGUAAUGGCCCACCAAGGCGACGAGGCAUAGCCGACCUGGGAGGGUGAUCGGCCACACUGGGACUGAGACACGGCCCAGACUCCUACGGGAGGCAGCAGUAGGGAAUCUUCCACAAUGGACGAAAGUCUGAUGGAGCAACGCCGCGUGAACGAUGAAGGCCUUCGGGUCGUAAAGUUCUGUUGUAAGGGAAGAACAAGUGCCGCAGGCAAUGGCGGCACCUUGACGGUACCUUGCGAGAAAGCCACGGCUAACUACGUGCCAGCAGCCGCCGUAAAAC
rnacentral:rRNA from 1 species